rnacentral:tRNA from 1 species
AGGGAUUUAGGUUAACUUAAACCAGGAGCCUUCAAAGCCCCUAAUAGGAGUUAAAAUCUCCCAAUCCCUG